GUCUUCUCUUGAACAUGGAAGCAGUUAUACCACUCUUUUACAAGAAAAUGAUCACAUUUCGGUAGAGUUGCUCUCUCCGCUUUGCACAAUUUUUGAAGAGAUAAUGAUAAGGUUUCACAAUCAUGAAUUAGAAUGGAGUCUUCUUGAAAGUUGUGUUACUAAGUUCAUACCAUCUUUAAUGCAGGCAAUAAUAUUGUCGUGCAUUUCCCUCCAGGAUCAAUGUUUAUGUAUAGCCUACCAUAUUGUCAUGACCUACCAUCUUUAAUGCAGGCAAUAACAUCG
rnacentral:lncRNA from 1 species